rnacentral:rRNA from 1 species
UGGGGAAUAUUGCACAAUGGGCGCAAGCCUGAUGCAGCCAUGCCGCGUGUGUGAAGAAGGCCUUCGGGUUGUAAAGCACUUUCAGCGAGGAGGAAGGGUAGUGUGUUAAUAGCACAUUGCAUUGACGUUACUCGCAGAAGAAGCACCGGCUAACUCCGUGCCAGCAGCCGCGAUAAUACGGAGGGUGCAAGCGUUAAUCGGAAUUACUGGGCGUAAAGCGCACGCAGGCGGUUUGUUAAGUCAGAUGUGAAAUCCCCGCGCUUAACGUGGGAACUGCAUCUGAAACUGGCAAGCUAGAGUCUUGUAGAGGGGGGUAGAAUUCCAGGUGUAGCGGUGAAAUGCGUAGAGAUCUGGAGGAAUACCGGUGGCGAAGGCGGCCCCCUGGACAAAGACUGACGCUCAGGUGCGAAAGCGUGGGGAGCAAACA